rnacentral:rRNA from 1 species
GACGAACGCUGGCGGCGUGCUUAACACAUGCAAGUCGAACGGAAAGGCCCCUUUGUGGCUACUCGAGCGUCGACCGGGGGAGUAACACGUGAGUAACCUGCCCUUGCCUUCGGGACAACUUUAGCUUACUGGGGCCAAUACCGGAUAGGAAUCCUUGCUGCAUGGUGGGGGUUGGAAAGUUUCGGCGGUUUUGGGUGGACUCGCUGCUUAUCUGCUUGUUGGUGGGGCGGUGGCUUACCAAGGCGUUUACGCGUAGCCAGCCUGUGGGGGCGACCGGCCACAUUGGGACUGACGGGCGGCCCCGACAGCUACGCGAGGGAGCAGUGGGGAAUAUUGCAGGAGGAGCGGAAGCCUAGUGAAGCAAGGCCGCGUGCGGGAUGACGGUGUUCUGAUUGUAGACCGCAUUCGGAAGGGGCGAUGCAUGUGGUGACGGUACCUGAUGAGGAAGCAACGGCUAACUACGUG